AUGAUGCCUUUCUUCCAUCGAUCCACGCUCCACUGCUCCACCGCAUCCAUGGCUGACGCUCGCCGAGCCCGUGCUGAGCUCCGCGCCGCCCUCGCCGCCCGCAUUGCUCAGACCGCGCCCGUUGGCGGACCUCCCCUCUGUUUUCCAUCACUCGCUGCCAACACAGCCACCGCCCUGACAACAAACGAGCAGAAAGGUUCAUCGCUGCACCCCUUUGUGCGGCAGGAUGGCCGCACCACCACCCCGUCGCUGACUCCGGCCGGCUCAUCGUCCCCCGCUCAUCGCGCACCCAUGGACGUGCAGGCCGCGCUGCUCAUGGCACAUGAGCUCCUGCGUUACCGCCCAGUCGACGACCUCUACAACGACUGGCUGGACCGCAUCGCCGAGCUCGUCAACGCUGCCGGGUGCUCUUCUGCACCAUCUCUCUCGCUGCCUCGCCCAUCUCCAGCUAUGGGCGACGUAGCUCACAGAGCGCCUCCGCCGCCUCCGCAUCAAGACGGCGCCCUCGCACCAAGACGCAUGGUCCCAUGGCGUGACCAGCCACGCCGGGCGCCCGCGCACGAAGAAGGAAGCUGCCAAGAAGUCCCGAGGCCGCAAGAAAUUGCUCCUGCGCUUCCAUCACCAUUGCGUCAAGACCGUGCGCCACCUGCAGCGGCGGCGCGUGGAUAUCAGGAUCAGGCUCCGCCUCCACGACGGGCUCCGGUCGCCAUGGCAGGCUACCGUGCCUUUACUCCUGAGCUGCGCAGCGUCGUCUGGCCAGGCAAGUUCAAGCCAGACCUGCCUACACGCUACGACGGCACCCCGGACCCCGCGAAGUUCUUGCAGCUCUACGAGUUGAGCAUCGAGGCAGCCAACGGAGACGAGAAGCUCAUGGCGAACUGGUUUCCCAUGGCCCUCAAGGAUGGCGCGCGCUCAUGGCUCCUGAACUUGCCCGUGGGAUCGAUCUCCUCCUGGGGCAAGAUGCCUAAGCACUUCGUCGCCAACUUCCAGGGCACUCGUGACCGCCCGCCGGCCGCAGGCGACCUGCGGCGCAUCAAGCAGUAG
rnacentral:rRNA from 1 species